rnacentral:rRNA from 1 species
CCUACGGGUGGCAGCAGUGGGGAAUAUUGGGCAAUGGGCGCAAGCCUGACCCAGCAACGCCGCGUGAAGGAAGAAGGCUUUCGGGUUGUAAACUUCUUGUAAGAGGGAAGAGCAGAAGACGGGACGUAUGGAAUAAGCCACGGCUAACUACGUGCGAGCAGCCGCGGUAAUACGUAGGUGGCAAGCGUUGUCCGGAUUUACUGGGUGGAAAGGGCGGGUAGCCGGGCUGAGAAGUCAGAUGUGAAAGCCCGUGGCUCAACCACGGAACUGCCUUUGAAACUGUCGGUCUUGAGUAUCGGAGAGGCAGGCGGAAUUCCUGGUGUAGCUGUGAAAUGCGUAGAUAUUAGGAGGAACACCAGUGGCGAAGGCGGCCUGCUGGACGACAACUGACGGUGAGGCGCGAAAGCGUGGGGAGCAAACAGGAUUAGAUACCCCAGUAGUC